CCUACGGGGGGCAGCAGUGAGGAAUAUUGGUCAAUGGACGAGAGUCUGAACCAGCCAAGUAGCGUGAAGGAUGACUGCCCUAUGGGUUGUAAACUUCUUUUAUAUGGGAAUAAAACAGGGUAUGCAUACCCUCUUGUAUGUACCAUAUGAAUAAGGAUCGGCUAACUCCGUGCCAGCAGCCGCGGUAAUACGGAGGAUCCGAGCGUUAUCCGGAUUUAUUGGGUUUAAAGGGUGCGCAGGCGGGAGAUCAAGUCAGCGGUAAAAUGUCGGGGCUCAACCCCGGCCGGCCGUUGAAACUGGUUUUCUAGAGUUGGAGAGAAGUAUGCGGAAUUCGUGGUGUAGCGGUGAAAUGCAUAGAUAUCACGAAGAACUCCGAUUGCGAAGGCAGCAUACCGGCUCCAUACUGACGCUGAGGCACGAAAGCGUGGGGAUCGAACAGGAUUAGAUACCCGAGUAGUC
rnacentral:rRNA from 1 species